rnacentral:rRNA from 1 species
CAGUAGCCGCGGUAAUACGUAGGGGGCAAGCGUUAAUCGGAAUUACUGGGCGUAAAGCGUGCGCAGGCGGUUAUUUAAGACAGAUGUGAAAUCCCCGGGCUCAACCUGGGAACUGCAUUUGUGACUGUAUAGCUAGAGUACGGCAGAGGGGUAUGGAAUUCCGCGUGUAGCAGUGAAAUGCGUAGAUAUGCGGAGGAACACCGAUGGCGAAGGCAAUCCCCUGGGCCUGUACUGACGCUCAUGCACGAAAGCGUGGGGAGCAAACAGGAUUAGAUACCCCUGUAGUCCCUGUCUCUUAUAA